AGCAGCCGCGGUAAUUCCAGCUCCAAUAGCGUAUAUUAAAGUUGUUGCAGUUAAAAAGCUCAUAGUUGAAUUUCGGGGUUCUACCGUCGGUCGGGCUACCAAGUCUGUACUGGUGUGUAGAAUUUCUACCUUCUGGGGAACCAUCAUGUUAUUAAUUUAGCGUGGUGGGAAACCAGGACCUUUACCUUGAAAAAAUUAGAGUGUUCAAAGCAGGCUUAUGUCUGAAUACAUUAGCAUGGAAUAAUAGAAUAGGACGGUGGUCCUGUUUUGUUGGUUUCUGAAUCACCGUAAUGAUUAAUAGGGAUAGUUGGGGGCAUUAGUAUUCAAUUGUCAGAGGUGAAAUUCUUGGAUUUAUUGAAGACUAACUUCUGCGAAAGCAUUUGCCAAGGAUGUUUUCAUUAAUCAAGAACGAAAGUUAGGGGAUCGAAGACGAUCAGAUACCGUCGUAGU
rnacentral:rRNA from 1 species